rnacentral:tRNA from 1 species
GGGAAAGUGGCUCAGUGGUAGAGCGCUGGCCUUGCACGCCUGAGGCCCUGGGUUCGAUUCCUCAGCACCA